UACGUAGGAUCCGAGCGUUAUCCGGAUUUAUUGGGUUUAAAGGUUGCGCAGGCGGGAUGUUAAGUCGGCGGUGAAAUUUUGCAGCUCAACUGUAAAAGUGCCUUCGAUACUGGCUUUCUUGAGUGUGGAUGAAGUAGGCGGAAUUUGUGGUGUAGCGGUGAAAUGCAUAGAUAUCACGAGGAACUCCGAUUGCGCAGGCAGCUUACUAGGCCAUAACUGACGCUCAUGCACGAAGGCGUGGGGAUCAAACAGGAUUAGA
rnacentral:rRNA from 1 species